rnacentral:rRNA from 1 species
AUUGAACGCUGGCGGCAGGCCUAACACAUGCAAGUCGAGCGGAUGAAGGGAGCUUGCUCCUGGAUUCAGCGGCGGACGGGUGAGUAAUGCCUAGGAAUCUGCCUGGUAGUGGGGGAUAACGUCCGGAAACGGGCGCUAAUACCGCAUACGCCCUGAGGGAGAAAGUGGGGGAUCUUCGGACCUCACGCUAUCAUAUGAGCCUAGGUCGGAUUAGCUAGUUGGUGGGGUAAAGGCCUACCAAGGCGACGAUCCGUAACUGGUCUGAGAGGAUGAUCAGUCACACUGGAACUGAGACACGGUCCAGACUCCUACGGGAGGCAGCAGUGGGGAAUAUUGGACAAUGGGCGAAAGCCUGAUCCAGCCAUGCCGCGUGUGUGAAGAAGGUCUUCGGAUUGUAAAGCACUUUAAGUUGGGAGGAAGGGCAGUAAGUUAAUACCUUGCUGUUUUGACGUUACCAACAGAAUAAGCACCGGCUAACUUCGUG